rnacentral:misc_RNA from 1 species
AAGUCGUAACAAGGUUUCCGUAGGUGAACCUGCGGAAGGAUCAUUUCUGGUUAUUUUGGAACAAACUUGUGAGUUUUUUUUAAAGACUCACGGGUAGUUAACACACACAAAAACCUGUUUUUAGAACACGGCAUUCUGUCUGAUUCUCUAUUAAAUGGUAUAAAACUUUCAACAACGGAUCUCUAGGCUCUU